UACGUAGGGGGCGAGCGUUGUCCGGAGUUACUGGGCGUAAAGCGCACGCAGGCGGUCUGUGAAGUUUGGAGUGACAGUUGGUGGCUCAACCACCAAAGUGCUUUGAAAACUGACAGACUUGAGGGCUUCAGAGGGACACGGAAUUCCGGGUGGAGUGGUGAAAUGCGUAGAGAUCCGGAGGAACACCAAAGGCGAAGGCAGUGUCCUGGGGAGUACCUGACGCCUCAGGU
rnacentral:rRNA from 1 species